rnacentral:rRNA from 1 species
AAGCCCGAAGGCGCAAUGAAGUGAACCGUAGGCGGGAGAGUGUAAUCUCCUGCGGGAGUCGGGGCGCACCGCCGGCCCGUCUCGUUUGGUCGGGGGGUUCUUUUUUUCGGUCCCUUUGCGGGGACCGGUAUAAAAAAAGGCUCGUCGGCGGAGGCGGAGCGAGAGCGUACACGUUAGGACCCGAAAGACGGUGAACUAUUCCCGGACAGGACGAAGCCGGAGGAAACUCCGGUGGAGGUCCGCAGCGAUUCUGACGUGCAAAUCGAUCGUCGGAUCCGGGUAUAGGGGCGAAAGACUAAUCGAACCGUCUA